rnacentral:sRNA from 1 species
AUGUGCUCCUCGUCCGUUUCGGUUCGUCCACGCCGUCUACCCCAACCUGACGACCGCUCCCUACGUUGUGGUAGCC